rnacentral:lncRNA from 1 species
CUCUUACAGCUUUGAAACAAAUACUCCCUACCUUCCACGAGCUGAACUAAAAUGUAUCCUGGGAUCCUAAGGCAAGCAUCCAUCCUGGUGACAAAUGUUUGCCAAGGGUGGGGAGAGAGGAGGGAGGAAAGAAAGAAAAAGAGAAGGAAGACGCCAUCUGCUGACGAAAGAGAAAAGAAGAGGAGGAGGAAUUGGAAGGCGCCACUUCCGGACGCUGUGCUUGGUCCUACCUAAAAUACAAAAUCAAGACCACCCAGGCCCUGCUCUAAGGAAGUCACUCUCUAGAAAGGGACAGAGACAUGCUAUCAGGAAGAAAACUGAAUAUCCUUACAUUGUGAGGUCAGAUGUAUGGCUUUCAUUCUGAAUGCAGUAACUUCAAAUGUAGACACGUGAACAGAAAGCUUUGUAACAGAAAAACAGCAUUGUUUCGUUAGAUGACUAUAGAUAGUAUUUCAUAAAAUACAAGAAAAACACUCAAAAUUAGCUCCAAAAAAUGUAUGAAAGGUGAUACUCUGAUAUUUAAUAAAACUGAACCUCUCACAACAAUAAAAUGAUCCAAUUUCAUAUAC